rnacentral:rRNA from 1 species
UACGUAGGGUGCAAGCGUUGUCCGGAAUUAUUGGGCGUAAAGAGCUUGUAGGCGGUUUGUCGCGUCUGCUGUGAAAUUUCGGGGCUCAACCCCGAACUUGCAGUGGGUACGGGCAGACUAGAGUGUGGUAGGGGGAUCUGGAAUUCCUGGUGUAGCGGUGGAAUGCGCAGAUAUCAGGAGGACACCGGUGGCGAAGGCGGGAUCCUGGGCCAGUACUGACGCUGAGGAGCGAAAGCGUGGGGAGCGAACAGG